CAGAGGCCUUUGGUCUUUUCCUCUGGGCCUUGACCAUCCCCUUCCGGGGUGGGAGGAGGAUGGAAGUGCCAGAGCCACGGGCAGCUCGGACGACAGGUGGAGAACCACGGGUGCAAAGGUGGAACGUUCGCCGCUCCUGUCCUGGUCUGUUGAUUCAGCUCUCAGUGCGGACCUUUCAGCAAGGGUUUGGUGGACUCCCUCCUUCAUCCCUUAGACACUCGCUGCGGAGCCAGCCCCCGCCAGACACUGUCCUAGACCCUGGGAGAAUGUAGCCACAGACGGACAGAUGUCCCUGGGCUCGUGGAGUGUGGAACGUCUAGUGUGGGACAGGUUGCUUCACCUCCUUUGCUGUACCUCCCGAAGGUUGACCAGUGCUGUAGGCGUUUUACGCUCCAAGAACGCCUUACACCAGGACAGAUCAACCGCCCUGGGCACUUGGAAUGUGGCUGUUAAUGUGGCGAAUGUGUUCUUUCCGAACGUCAGAAAGGAGGAGAAGGACCGUAGGGAAGGACAGCGGUGCGCACCCGUGGCCUUGCCCGCGAUCACGUGGCCGUCCUGCAGCACAUCCCAUUGGUCCUCUACCCUGGUGACAUCAGGGUUGUUGGACUGGAGCGCACGCCUCGAGCCAUCUCCUCUCUGGACUGUCAGCCCCGGAGGCACUCAUGGCCCCUGAUACCCCGUCCCCAGCUGUGACCCCAGCAUGAGCGCACAGUCAGUAAGCAUCCCUGUGUCGAAGGUGCCAGAGAGUACCUGGCGGUGGAGGCACCUCAGGGCCUUGAGCUCAUUCCCCCAGAGCAGGCACACCUGUGCGAUAGGCUGCCAGCGACUGAGACCUGGCUCCCUUCGGGGACGCACGUCCUUGGUCCUGACCAUCCCCAGGACCUGGUGCCGGGCGUGUGGAGACGGAGCCCCAGGAAACGGAGUGGACGUGUGACAACGGCCUUGGAGC